AAAAAGAAAGACGUCUAGUCCCUAUGCAUCAACCUAAUCUGAUCAUUCUACAAAAAACUAUACAACCCGAGUGAUCUUCACACGCCCCACAAGAUCCUCCUAACAUAGCUCCAGUCAGGUGUGUCCAACUACAUUCCCAUCCACAGGGUACUAACCGGUAGGAUGGUCCUGGUUCUCAUCUGAGGGCAAAGCCCAGAUUUC
rnacentral:lncRNA from 1 species